GCAGCAGGGAACUGGACCUGGACUCCAAGCUGGCAUACAAAUAAUGACCUUUCAGAUUCCAGAUCAAAGGAUCCGGCCAUCCUUCCUAUGUCUAAGGGCACCGUUAGGCUCCAAAUGUUCAGAAGUAUCAUCACUUGCAAACAUUUGAGAACCAAUUAUGACUGUUUUGCCAUUACUGAGACACAGAAUGCUGUAGCUGUAUAAGCCACUGCAACACUACAGACAACCUCUUUCCUUCAGUCUCACUUACUGAGGAAAUAUUAAC